AGGCUUUUUGGUCAUUGUGACAAAAUACUGAACAAAUCAACUUAAAGGAAGAAAGGUCUGUUUUUGGCUCGCAGACUCAGAGAUCUCAGUCUAUGGUCAGUGGGCGCCAUUGUUCUCAGAUCUGGGGCAAGUCAGGAAGAAGGUGCCUUCUCACCCCACUGCACCCGUGAAGGAAAGAAACUGGCACAAAGAGGUUAUGACCCUGAAACCAAGAAUGAAUCAUGGGAGCUUAGGAACACCAGCUUGACGGAAUGCCUAUCUCUGACCACUUGGCUGUGUGGCUCAACUACCACCACACCGUUGCCUUCUGGGAAAUGUACCACUGGGUGUUGUCUUCUGUACUCUCAGCGUCAAAAUACUUUGAAUCUUGGCCAAAUCAGCAGGAA